rnacentral:rRNA from 1 species
GAUGAACGCUGGCGGCGUGCCUAAUACAUGCAAGUCGAGCGAACGGACGAGAAGCUUGCUUCUCUGAUGUUAGCGGCGGACGGGUGAGUAACACGUGGAUAACCUACCUAUAAGACUGGGAUGACUUCGGGAAACCGUAGCUAAUACCGGAUAAUAUUUUGAACCGCAUGGUUCAAAAGUGAAAGACGGUCUUGCUGUCACUUAUAGAUGGAUCCGCGCUGCAUUAGCUAGUUGGUAAGGUAACGGCUUACCAAGGCAACGAUGCAUAGCCGACCUGAGAGGGUGAUCGGCCACACUGGAACUGAGACACGGUCCAGACUCCUACGGGAGGCAGCAGUAGGGAAUCUUCCGCAAUGGGCGAAAGCCUGACGGAGCAACGCCGCGUGAGUGAUGAAGGUCUUCGGAUCGUAAAACUCUGUUAUUAGGGAAGAACAUAUGUGUAAGUAACUGUGCACAUCUUGACGGUACCUAAUCAGAAAGCCACGGCUAACUACGUG